rnacentral:tRNA from 10 species
GCACCCGUAGCUCAGUUGGAUAGAGUGUCAGUUUCCGAAGCUGAAGGUCAGUGGUUCGAUCCCACUCGGGUGCGCCA